AAUCCCUAAGUCCUAUUUUCAGCAGAUAUAGAAACUCAAAGAGGCACUAAAAUUUGAUUUGGCUUACCAUUUAUGGAGAGAUGGCUGGUGAUAGAAGUUAAUUUGGCUAAAGAUCUCACCAUGUGGACCCGAAACACACUGAAAGCUUAAGCAUAUAUGUGCGCCAUUAUUAGGUGAAAAAGAAAGUAAGGUUGCUGUCGUGUUGUUCUUCGUCUUCUACUGCCGUGUUUGUCUUCCCUGCUGUAGCUGCUGUUUCUCUCCUCCUCUUCCAUACUGCCUCUACUUAUGUUGCCUUCUUCGUGUCGCCGAUGCUUUUAACAAACAAAGGUGUGAUUUGGAGACAAAUUCAGUUCUAAUAGCUAAACAAGAAUAGAAGCAGUUAUUCAAAAAAGAAAUUAGAAACAAAAAGAAACAAAUCAAAGAAGAUUUUUGACAUUUUCUUUCUCUCU